rnacentral:lncRNA from 1 species
CAAUACUGAAAAGAGCGACGAAAUCAUGGGGUGACAAAGCAACAAGAGCACUUCUAGAUAGGCGUCUGCGAUUGGCACUCUUGCAUCUGCCAUGUCAUCGUCACCCUCCAUAUCGCCGAUUCCUUGAUCCCAGUUGGCUCGCCAGCGCAGCAGAUCGGCAAGGCAUUGGUUGAUUGUGACGAUACCGACGACGAUACCCACCGACCCACGAAGCACCCCCUUGGUUUUCC